CCUGUUUGGAAGUUUGUUGAAACAGACUAAAAACAAGGUGACGCGGUAGCACUGGAUUGCAUUCCGAAGGGCUGCUGCAACCUUCGUGUGCCGUUCUACAUUUGGGUCCUGUCCCUCAAAAACUGACAGUGCCUCCUCAAAUAAAGAACAUCCCCUUGCCAUUGCCUGCGUCGUGAAUCUCUUCUUAGCAGUACCAGCUACAUCAUCGCUGCUUUUAUGCUUGCUUCCGGACAUCCUGGGCUAGAAAUAAAGGAGCAACGCAGGUGUUACUGAGUCCAAGCUAAUACUGCUCACUGCACAGCAGACGAUGGAUCCAGAGACAAGGUCUUGGGGCAAGGAAUGGUGACUUUGUUCAGAAAGCCAGCAGACUGAGAAGACGGUGGACUAGCGUCCC